CCAGUCAUUACUAAUGCAAUUAGCAGUAAUGUAGCAUUUCUGUGGCCCAAACGCUGUUUGCUGUAGAAAAAAAGAAAUACACAGGUAUGCUUUUCUUUGCAUUUUUAGCAAAUAAUGUGAGUUUUUAGCUUUUUGUUCAAUUAACCUCCAUGAAUUGUGGAUUCCUCCCUCUUUGCAGCCAUUUUCUGAAGAAACUGGGGAAAUAGCAGAUGGGAAGCCUCUCAAUAACGCCUCUGAUACUACCAGUCAUGUGAUGAAACGGGAUAUAGCAUGUGGGAAGGCUCUCUAAAAACUCCACUGAUACUAC
rnacentral:lncRNA from 1 species